rnacentral:lncRNA from 1 species
AAGAUAUCGACACGCAAUUACGACUACAUCGUUUACUGUAGUUUUGUUCCUUUGUGGUUUAUAGACAUAUCGGGAUUUUUCAUCGGAGAAGGUGACAAGAUGGCGGAGCUCAGAGAACUGAUAAUAAAAAUUUAAAAUCGAUGGUGAUCUCUUAUUUAGCGGAAUAAAACUUUAAUAUCUAUAAAUUUGAGCAUUUUUAUACAGAAUGGACAUAAUAUCAAUUUUUGAUUUUUUUGCGAAGUUUCCCUUUAA